rnacentral:rRNA from 1 species
GAUGAACGCUGGCGGCGUGCCUAAUACAUGCAAGUCGAGCGAACAGACGAGGAGCUUGCUCCUCUGACGUUAGCGGCGGACGGGUGAGUAACACGUGGAUAACCUACCUAUAAGACUGGGAUAACUUCGGGAAACCGGAGCUAAUACCGGAUAAUAUAUUGAACCGCAUGGUUCAAUAGUGAAAGACGGUUUUGCUGUCACUUAUAGAUGGAUCCGCGCCGCAUUAGCUAGUUGGUAAGGUAACGGCUUACCAAGGCAACGAUGCGUAGCCGACCUGAGAGGGUGAUCGGCCACACUGGAACUGAGACACGGUCCAGACUCCUACGGGAGGCAGCAGUAGGGAAUCUUCCGCAAUGGGCGAAAGCCUGACGGAGCAACGCCGCGUGAGUGAUGAAGGUCUUCGGAUCGUAAAACUCUGUUAUUAGGGAAGAACAAAUGUGUAAGUAACUAUGCACGUCUUGACGGUACCUAAUCAGAAAGCCACGGCUAACUACGUGCCAGCAGCCGCGGUAAUACGUAGGUGGCAAGCGUUAUCCGGAAUUAUUGGGCGUAAAGCGCGCGUAGGCGGUUUUUUAAGUCUGAUGUGAAAGCCCACGGCUCAACCGUGGAGGGUCAUUGGAAACUGGAAAACUUGAGUGCAGAAGAGGAAAGUGGAAUUCCAUGUGUAGCGGUGAAAUGCGCAGAGAUAUGGAGGAACACCAGUGGCGAAGGCGACUUUCUGGUCUGUAACUGACGCUGAUGUGCGAAAGCGUGGGGAUCAAACAGGAUUAGAUACCCUGGUAGUCCACGCCGUAAACGAUGAGUGCUAAGUGUUAGGGGGUUUCCGCCCCUUAGUGCUGCAGCUAACGCAUUAAGCACUCCGCCUGGGGAGUACGACCGCAAGGUUGAAACUCAAAGGAAUUGACGGGGACCCGCACAAGCGGUGGAGCAUGUGGUUUAAUUCGAAGC